AGUGAACGCUGGCGGUAGGCCUAACACAUGCAAGUCGAACGGCAGCACAGUAAGAGCUUGCUCUUACGGGUGGCGAGUGGCGGACGGGUGAGGAAUACAUCGGAAUCUACUUUUUCGUGGGGGAUAACGUAGGGAAACUUACGCUAAUACCGCAUACGACCUACGGGUGGAAGCAGGGGAUCUUCGGACCUUGCGCGAUUGAAUGAGCCGAUGUCGGAUUAGCUAGUUGGCGGGGUAAAGGCCCACCAAGGCGACGAUCCGUAGCUGGUCUGAGAGGAUGACCGGCAACACUGGACCGGAGACAGGGUCCAGACCCCUCCGGGAGGCGGCGGUGGGGAAUAUUGAACAAGGGGCGCAGGCCUGACCCAGCCAUACCGGGGGGGGAAAGAAGGCCUUCGGGUUGUAAAGCCUUUUUGUGGGAAAAGAAAAGAAGCAGGUAAAUCCCCCGCUGUUCUGACGGUACCAAAAAAAUAAGCCCCGGCAACCUUCGUG
rnacentral:rRNA from 1 species